GAGGAGCCAGAGGAGGAGCAUCCUAGGUCCGUCUGCAGAGAAUGUGUAUGUGUCGAUGCGUGGUAACCGUGGCAACAAAGAAGACAGUAAGAGGGAAGGAGGAGAGGAGGAAAUAGAGUCUCCUUACGUGAUCUGUGCCUCUGGCGUUUCCACGGCAACAGCAGUCAGCAGACCGGCGUCCGAGGACGUGGACGGGAUCUACAUGUGACGGCCAAUCAGAGCGGUCCUGUUGUCACGGCGCCGUGACCUCUGACCUCCACUGCCGGGACACACAACCCACACACCCUGUCCCUGAUUCUGAUUGGCUGCUCCUGGUCCAGAGGCCACGCCCCCCGCGAGGCCACGGGCCGGCGGGGACGGUGCACGGUGAGGGACAAAAUUUAGACUACUGAGGAGUCAAGGACCGAUCCGGCCAAUGCGAGGCCGGCGCUGGUGUCUGAGAGGCCGGCACCGGCUAUUCAUUUGACUGGUAGCCUAGCAACCUGCCGUGGUAACCUAGCAACCGUCUGGCUGAGCCGCUGGAUUGGCUCAUAUGCUCCACCUGACCAGCCCGUGUGUUCUGCUUCCAGCUGAGUUUGUUUUUGAGUUGACACCUGAGGAGCACCUGAGGGGACACGACCCCUUUAUCUCUUUUUAUUUAUAUAUAAAUUCAGACAUUAAAUCCAGACCAACCUUAUCAGAUUGUACAUAUUUCAUAUCAAACAAUAUAUGUAUUCCAAUCGUGUCAUUUUGUGCAUAUUUCAUGUGUUCUGUUCUUAAUGGUCAAACAUCGACACUUUUAAAUGCAU